UCCCUGGUAGCUCAGUUUGUAAAGAAUCUGCCUGCAACGCUGGAGAUCCCAGUUCAAUUUCUGGCUAGGGAA
rnacentral:tRNA from 1 species